rnacentral:rRNA from 1 species
GCCAGCGGUCAUAGCACGUUUAAUACACCAGUUCCCUACUGAUCACUGAUAUUGAGCACCGUUAUGUGUGGUUAGUAUUUGGAUGGGUGACCAUCUGGGCAAUCACGUGCUGCUGGAU